GACGAACGCUGGCGGCGUGCUUAACACAUGCAAGUCGAACGGAAAGGCCCUGCUUUUUUGGGGUGCUCGAGUGUCGGACGGGUGGGUAACACGUGAGUAACCUGCCCUUCACUUUGGGAUAACUUCAGGAAACUGGGGCUAAUACCGGAUAGGCGCUCCUGCUGCAUGGUGUGCGUUGGAUAGUUUCGGCGGUUGGGGAUGGACUCGCGGCUUAUCAGCUUGUUGGUGGGGUAGUGGCUUACCAAGGCUUUGACGGGUAGCCGGCCUGAGAGGGUGACCGGCCACAUUGGGACUGAGAUACGGCCCAGACUCCUACGGGAGGCAGCAGUGGGGAAUAUUGCACAAUGGGCGGAAGCCUGAUGCAGCAACGCCGCGUGCGGGAUGACGGCCUUCGGGGUGUAAACCGCUUUCGCCUGUGACGAAGCGUGAGUGACGGUAAUGGGUAAAGAAGCACCGGCUAACUACGUG
rnacentral:rRNA from 1 species